ensembl:lncRNA
UAUUAAUAUUAGCAUGCCUUUGAUUCAUGUCUUUCCAUUUUACAGUCUACCGCCAUAUGCCAACAGCAUGUUACUGGGCAUGAUGCAACCAAGUCUGCCCCAGGAAAUUCAGGAAGACUAUUUUACUAGAAACUGGGACUAAAAGACCACAAUUUAAUUUUAUGCCAUUUGUUAAGCUGAAAAAUAUGAGAAGAACUUUGGAUCUACACUGCCUUUAUAUUUUUGCAGUGAUAGAAACGGCAAAAUGCUUAUUCAAGCCUGCAGCAGAGUCGAUGGAGAAAAAGAUGCUACAGUGCGGUUUCCUUCAUAUGAAAGAAGUCUGUAUUUAGACUAAGAAUGAACUGAUGAAAUCAAACCUCUGGGAUGUUUGUACUUUAAUGGUUUAUGCAUUAACACUACUGUAUCGGUGCAGAUUGCUGAUAGUUAAGAAAGCGUGACCAUAAAAAGGUGUCUGAGCUGUCAAAAUGGUAUUCGGAUGGCUGACUGUCAAAGAUCUGCUACAGCAUCACAACUGGAGAUUUUAAUUGCAUUCAGACAUCACACUGGAAAGAUGUUGGGUGCAUUUUAUCCCUUCCUCUCUCUCUUACAUGCAUAUAUUCUUUCAGAACAUAAGCUUAUACAUACAUAUACAUUUUCACAGAUUCAAAAUUGUAUAAUAUUUUAAUCUGUGUUCAUGUCAGGUAGUAAUAUCCCCCUUACUCUUUCUCUCUUUAAAUAAAUGUUUGCAGAUUCCACUUUUGAUACCAGAACUGCAAGGCCUCAUUAUUUCUUAUUUCCAGAGGUUACAGAGUUUUAAU